rnacentral:rRNA from 1 species
GACGAACGCUGGCGGCGUGCUUAACACAUGCAAGUCGAGCGGUAAGGCCCUUUCGGGGGUACACGAGCGGCGAACGGGUGAGUAACACGUGGGUGACCUGCCCUCAGCUCUGGGAUAAGCCCGGGAAACUGGGUCUAAUACCGGAUAUGACUCCAUGACGCAUGUUGUGGGGUGGAAAGCCUUGUGCGGCUGAGGAUGGGCCCGCGGCCUAUCAGCUUGUUGGUGGGGUGAUGGCCACCAAGGCGACGACGGGUAGCCGGCCUGAGAGGGCGACCGGCCACACUGGGACUGAGAUACGGCCCAGACUCCUACGGGAGGCAGCAGUGGGGAAUCUUGCGCAAUGGGCGAAAGCCUGACGCAGCGACGCCGCGUGAGGGAUGACGGCCUGUGUAAC